rnacentral:rRNA from 1 species
UACAGAGGUGGCAAGCGUUGUUCGGAUUCAUUGGGCGUAAAGGGUGCGUAGGCGGUGGGGUAAGUUGGAUGUGAAAUCUUGGGGCUUAACCUCAAAAUUGCAUUCAAUACUGCUCCGCUCGAGUUCUGUAGAGGAGAUUGGAAUUUACGGUGUAGCAGUGAAAUGCGUAGAUAUCGUAAGGAACGCCAGUGGCGAAAGCGAAUCUCUGGGCAGCAACUGACGCUGAGCACGAAGGCCAGGGGAGCAAACGGG